rnacentral:rRNA from 1 species
CAUUACAGAGUUUAACCACUCAAAACCAUUGUGAACCUUACCUCAACCGUUGCUUCGGCGGGCGGGCCCCAAAAGCCCCCCCGGCCCCUCGCGGGCGCCCGCCGGAGGUUAACCGAACCCUUGAAUUGUAUGGCCUCUCUGAGUCUUCUGUACUGAAUAAGUCAAAACUYUCAACAACGGAUCUCUUGGUUCUGGCAUCGAUGAAGAACGCAGCGAAAUGCGAUAAGUAAUGUGAAUUGCAGAAUUCAGUGAAUCAUCGAAUCUUUGAACGCACAUUGCGCCCGCCAGUAUUCUGGCGGGCAUGCCUGUCCGAGCGUCAUUUCAACCAUCAAGCCCCGGGCUUGUGUUGGGGCCCUGCGGCUGCCGCAGGCCCUGAAAACCAGUGGCGGGCUCGCUAGUCACUCCGAGCGUAGUAGUUUACACCUCGCUCAGGGCGUGCUGCGGGUUCCGGCCGUUAAAAGCCUUAUUUUACCCAAGGUUGACCUCGGAUCAGGUAGGAAGACCCGCUGAACUUAA